rnacentral:rRNA from 1 species
AGCGGCGCAAGGGUGCGUAACACGUGGGUAAUCUGCCAUGAAGAUUGGGAUAACCCCGAGAAAUCGGGGCUAAUACCGGAUGUGAUCGCCUGGGGGCAUCCCUGGGGGAUUAAAGUUGGGGACCGCAAGGCCUGACGCUUCAUGAUGAGCCCGCGGCCUAUCAGCUAGUUGGUGGGGUAACGGCUCACCAAGGCUAAGACGGGUAGCUGGUCUGAGAGGACGACCAGCCACACUGGAACUGAGACACGGUCCAGACACCUACGGGUGGCAGCAGUCGAGAAUUUUUCACAGUGGGCGCAAGCCUGAUGGAGCGACGCCGCGUGGGGGAUGAAUGGCUUCGGCCCGUAAACCCCUGUCAUUUGCGAGCAAGGCGCAUUAUUUAAAAGAUGAUGUGUUGAUAGUAGCGGAAGAGGAAGGGACGGCUAACUCUGUGCCAGCAGCCGCGGUAAUACAGAGGUCCCGAGCGUUGUUCGGAUUCACUGGGCGUAAAGGGUGCGUAGGUGGUGAGGCAAGUCGGAUGUGAAAUUCUGGAGCUUAACUCCGGAACGGCAUUGGAAACUGCCUUGUGGGAGGUUUGGAGGGGGGACUGGAAUUCUCGGUGUAGCAGUGAAAUGCGUAGAUAUCGAGAGGAACACCAGUGGCGAAGGCGAGUCCCUGGACAACACCUGACACUGAGGCACGAAAGCUAGGGGAGCAAACA